CAGCAGAAUAAAGUUGUAAAGGCAAGGUCUUAGCAGAACAUGAAUGUCUUCAAUCCGCGGUUGAACCUCCUUCAUAAUUAUCUCCUCACUCUCACCUAAUUACGUGGAAUCUGACGGAAGCAUCAUAGGCUGCAUCGAAAAGAAGACUUUUGUGGUACAGAUUAUGAGAAUGAGCAAACUCAGUGUCGAAUCUCUUUCUCCUCGCACAUGUUCAGGUUUUGAUUUGGUAUUAGUAAGGGUUGCGGUAAUGAUUCUUGGUGACGUUUCUUGCGAUUUAUGGUGAAUUUGAUGAAGGUUGAAAUUGGUGAUGAAGGAGGUCAAGUUUGGUAUUGGUAAUGAGUUUUCUAUGGUUUUUGUUUAUGGCAAGGUUUAGAUUCUCAAGGUAAUCGCCCACACAAGAUGAAAAGCAAGGGAAACACAUAAACAAGCAAACAAAAAUAACUCAAACAAGCAAGCAAGCAUAGAAGGCAUAAGCAAGCAAAACACUCAUGGAAUGAUAAAUAAAAUUUGAGGCUUAUCAAUUGAAGACCCUCCGAAGGUUCUUCAAUAGCGGUGCAAACGAUAAAUGAUUCUUUGCAUUUGCUUGUUAAUUCCUCCGAUUCAAUUCCUCUUCAUCCUCUUUUUUUCUUCCAUUUGAUUUCUUGUUGUUUUUGAUUCUUUUGCCAUUUUUCAAUGCUUGAAUCAUGAAAAACUAUGAUGCGAAGUAUGGUGAAGGUUUAUGCUCAAGUUGAUUGAAGUUUCAAUGUGAAUCUUUAACAACCAUGGAUUUGAGCUCUAGUGAGAGAAGGUUAGAGAAUGGAAAGUGAAAACUUGAGAGAACAUGGAGAAUGGAUGGAAUCAAAAAGUGAAGAAGAGGCCUCUCAUGGGUGAAUGAUGAAUGACUAUAUAGAACUAGGUGAGGGAUGAUUAGAGGUUGAAAAUUGGUUAAAAAGUUAGUUGAGACUGUUUUGGACACUUUGGGCAAUUUCCCAAAGUAAUUAGAGUUAGUUUGUAGAAGUUUAAGGUAGUUAUGAUGGUUAAAGCAUUGAUAUAUGUGACUUUACAUGCAUGUGUCUAUGCUGAAUUUUUAAUAAAUGUUGAGUGAAAUUGAAUGAAUUUACAUGGAAUCACUUGAAUACGUGUUUGGGUACUUACAUGGUAUGAAUGAAUGACUUAUGGAUGCAUUUAAGUUGAUGUUCAUGGAUGAAGUGACGUAUUUCAUGAAUGAUGUAUUUUUUUUAAUACACAUGAUCUAUGAGGUUUUACUUGUUCCAUAUAAAUGGAAUGAGAAUGAUGCAUAAUAUGGAAUUUGUAUUCAUGGCAUAUGCAUAACAUAUUGAAUUUGUAUAA